rnacentral:misc_RNA from 1 species
AUCUCGUGUAAUUGGGGAAUCUAGACAGAAGAAACAGUGGCAAAAAAUACUAUUUGCAAGGGGAUCUUUGAAUUUCCUUUUCACAGUCACUAGAUUAGAGAAACAGAUCUGAAUAAUGUAAAUCGAUCGAAGAAAAACUACAAACGAAACGUUGCGUCAACAAAUCUUUGGUCCUUAAUGUGUUAAGCGACGAUACGCAGAAAUUGUGCAAGUACUUUGACCUGAUGUAAUUUCGCUUAGCUACCGUCAGACUCGAAACGUUUUAUAGGUGAACAGUAAAAGAUUUUACAACAG